rnacentral:rRNA from 1 species
GACGAACGCUGGCGGCGUGCUUAACACAUGCAAGUCGAACGGAAAGGCCCUGCUUUUGUGGGGUGCUCGAGUGGCGAACGGGUGAGUAACACGUGAGUAACCUGCCCUUGACUUUGGGAUAACUUCAGGAAACUGGGGCUAAUACCGGAUAGGAGCUCCUGCUGCAUGGUGGGGGUUGGAAAGUUUCGGCGGUUGGGGAUGGACUCGCGGCUUAUCAGCUUGUUGGUGGGGUAGUGGCUUACCAAGGCUUUGACGGGUAGCCGGCCUGAGAGGGUGACCGGCCACGUUGGGACUGAGAUACGGCCCAGACUGCUACGGGAGGCAGCAGUGGGGAAUAUUGCACAAUGGGCGGAAGCCUGAUGCAGCAACGCCGCGUGCGGGAUGACGGCCUUCGGGUUGUAGACCGCUUUCGCCUGUGACGAAGCGUGAGUGACGGUAAUGGGUAAAGAAGCACCGGCUAACUACGUG